UGUAUCUGAAAGGGCCAUUUCAGUGAAGACGAGUAGGGCGGGGCACGUGAAACCCUGUCUGAACAUGGGGGGACCAUCCUCCAAGGCUAAAUACUACUGACCGACCGAUAGUGAACCAGUACCGUGAGGGAAAGGCGAAAAGAACCCCGGAGAGGGGAGUGAAAUAGAACCUGAAACCGUGUGCGUACAAGCAGUAGGAGCUCCGCAAGGAGUGACUGCGUACCUUUUGUAUAAUGGGUCAGCGACUUACUGUUCGUGGCAAGCUUAACCGUAUAGGGGAGGCGAAGGGAAACCGAGUCUGAUAAGGGCGCAUAGUCGCGGGCAGUAGACCCGAAACCGGGUGAUCUAGUCAUGCCCAGGGUGAAGGUGCGGUAACACGCACUGGAGGCCCGAACCCACUCCCGUUGCAAAGGUAGGGGAUGAGGUGUGAUUAGGAGUGAAAAGCUAAUCGAACCCGGAGAUAGCUGGUUCUCCUCGAAAGCUAUUUAGGUAGCGCCUCAUAUGUAUCCUCUCGGGGGUAGAGCACUGUUAUGGCUAGGGGGUCAUCGCGACUUACCAAACCAUUGCAAACUCCGAAUACCGAGAAGGACUGUAUGGGAGACACACGGCGGGUGCUAACGUCCGUCGUGAAAAGGGAAACAACCCAGACCCACAGCUAAGGUCCCAAAUUCACUGCUAAGUGGAAAACCAUGUGGAAAGGCACAGACAGCCAGGAGGUUGGCUUAGAAGCAGCCACCCUUUAAAGAAAGCGUAAUAGCUCACUGGUCGAGUCGGUCUGCGGGGAAGAUUUAACGGGGCUAAGCAGUGAACCGAAGCUUGGGGUGCAUACUUUGUAUGCGCGGUAGAGGAGCGUUCCGUAAGCCGUUGAAGGUGGAUUGAGAAGUCUGCUGGAGGUAUCGGAAGUGCGAAUGCUGACAUGAGUAACGAUAAUGCGGGUGAAAAACCCGCACGCCGAAAGCCCAAGGUUUCCUUGCGCAACGUUAAUCGGCGCAGGGUGAGUCGGCCCCUAAGGCGAGGACGAAAGUCGUAGUCGAUGGGAAGCAGGUUAAUAUUCCUGCACCUCGCGUAAGUGCGAUGGAGGGACGGAGAAGGUUAGGUGUACCAGGCGUUGGUUGUCCUGGGGAAAGGCGGUAGGUUUGGAUCUUUGGCAAAUCCGGGAUCCUUCAAGACCGAGCACCGAGACGAGCCUUUAAGGCGAAGUCACUGAUACCACGCUUCCAGGAAAAGCUCCUAAGCUUCAGCUUACGCAGACCGUACCGUAAACCGACACAGGUGGGUAGGAUGAGAAUUCUCAGGCGCUUGAGAGAACUCGGGUGAAGGAACUAGGCAACAUGGCACCGUAACUUCGGGAGAAGGUGCACCCUUUUUGGUGGCUCAUGCGAGCUAUAGCUGAAGAGGGUCGCAGUAACCAGGCCGCUGCGACUGUUUAUCAAAAACACAGCACUCUGCAAACACGAAAGUGGACGUAUAGGGUGUGACGCCUGCCCGGUGCUGGAAGGUUAAUUGAUGGGGUCAGCCGCAAGGCGAAGCUCUUGAUCGAAGCCCCAGUAAACGGCGGCCGUAACUAUAACGGUCCUAAGGUAGCGAAAUUCCUUGUCGGGUAAGUUCCGACCUGCACGAAUGGCGUAACGACAGCGGCGCUGUCUCCACCCGAGACUCAGUGAAAUUGAAAUCGCUGUGAAGAUGCAGCGUUCCCGUGGCAAGACGGAAAGACCCCGUGAACCUUUACUAUAGCUUUACACUGAACGUUGAGUUCGUCUGUGUAGGAUAGGUGGGAGGCUAUGAAACUGUGGCGCUAGCUGCAGCGGAGCCAUCCUUGAAAUACCACCCUGUCGUGCUUGACGUUCUAACCUGGGCCCAUUAUCUGGGUCGGGGACCGUGUAUGGUGGGUAGUUUGACUGGGGCGGUCUCCUCCUAAAGAGUAACGGAGGAGCUCGAAGGUACGCUCAGCGCGGUCGGACAUCGCGCACUGUGUGCAAAGGCAUAAGCGUGCUUGACUGCAAGAUCGACGGAUCAAGCAGGUAGGAAACUAGGACUUAGUGAUCCGGUGGUUCUGUAUGGAAGGGCCAUCGCUCAACGGAUAAAAGGUACUCCGGGGAUAACAGGCUGAUACCGCCCAAGAGUUCAUAUCGACGGCGGUGUUUGGCACCUCGAUGUCGGCUCAUCACAUCCUGGGGCUGUAGUCGGUCCCAAGGGUAUGGCUGUUCGCCAUUUAAAGUGGUACGCGAGCUGGGUUCAGAACGUCGUGAGACAGUUCGGUCCCUAUCUGCCAUGGGCGUUGGAGAUUUGAGAGGGGCUGCUCCUAGUACGAGAGGACCGGAGUGGACGAACCUCUGGUGUUCCGGUUGUCACGCCAGUGGCAUUGCCGGGUAGCUAUGUUCGGAAGCGAUAACCGCUGAAAGCAUCUAAGCGGGAAGCGCGCCUCAAGAUGAGAUCUCCCGGGGCACAAGCCCCCUGAAGGAACCAUGUAGACUACGUGGUUGAUAGGUCAGGUGUGUAAGUACAGCAAUGUAUUGAGCUAACUGAUACUAAUGAUCCGAGAGGCUUGACCAU
rnacentral:rRNA from 1 species